rnacentral:rRNA from 1 species
CCCUUAGAUGUCCUGGGCCGCACGCGCGCUACACUGAGUGUCUGAGAUACGAGUCUGCCUGGGCCGGCAAGGUCUAGGUAAUCGCUAAAAGACACAUCAUGCUUGGGAUAGAUUAUUGCAAAUAUUAAUCUUGAACGAGGAAUUCCUAGUAAGCGCAAGUCAACAGCUUGCGUUGAUUACGUCCCUGCCCUUUGUACACACCGCCCGUCGCUACUACUGAUUGGAUGUUUAAGCGAGGUUCUCGAACUGCUAGCGACUUAGCUUCGGUGAGGUCGCAGUGUGGGAAGUGAACCUAGCUUUGGUGUCUAGAGGAAGUAAAAGUCGUAACA